CGCGCUGCAGCUGUGCAGGCGUAUUUCAAAUGGCAAGUGAAGAUGUUAAUCGUGCAUCACAGGACCGGACACAGACAUUCCGACCGCCGCCUGCACAGAACGCUGCCGAGAAAAACGGCUCUCAGCGGCAACGCCCGGGAGCUCCCGUUUCACUAACACUUAUGUCGGCAGAGAGGUGCUCGGAACAGCAAAGGCGCUUCAGCUUCCUAGAAAAGGGCACCACUGAAUAACUGGGAUGCAGAUCUGGUAGAGAAACAGCUGAGGUGAUACACGCGAAGAGCCGGCACUGUGAACUGGGCCUUGCCCUCUCCACCGCUGGGGACCUUCCGCCACCAUACGAAGGAGCAUCACUAACCUGAUGGGUGACAGACUGCUGGCCCAGCUGACGUCACGCUGACAGCCAGACAAGACAGCGAGUCACUGGACCAGCGAGCCGCCAACCGCCAGCCCUAGUGAAGUUGCCCAGGACACGGGGCCCCAGAGGGACUGGCCCUGGACAAAUCGCACUCAGCCACCCCUCAAACCUGGCUUAAUAAUAAGUGCUUUGUCUUAAUCCAUCAAA